UUAAGUCUUGACGAGUAAGAGGGUCGCGACGGUGAGCGCAGAAGGGUCAGGGCGAGAGCCUGCCUGGAGCCGCCGUUGGUGCAGAUCUUGGUGGUAGUAGCAAAUACUCUAGCGAGGGCCUGGAGGACUGACGUGGAGAAGGGUUUCUUGUGAACAGCCGUUGCACAAGAGUCAGUCGACCCUGAGCCCUAGGAGAAAUCCGAUGACGAUGGGUGGCUUGACAAUAUAUGCGCACACACAUUGAUUGAACACACGUGUUCUCUGUGUAACACACAUAAUAUCAUAGACCACAGACUGUGUCUGUCGUUUGAGUUAUGCACAACGUGCUGCUUGCGACUGUACAGCUCCUAUUGGGCAAAAGGGAAUCCGGUUCCUAUUCCGGAACCUGGCUGCGUAACUGCAUCUUUGCGGGCACUUGCUUGCGAGCGCUCGUCGGGGUAACCCAAACUGGCCUGGAGACGCCGGCGGGGGGUCUGGAAAGAGUUUUCUUUUCUUUAUAAGCGUUCGAGUACCCUGGAAUCCUAUAGCAGGGAGAUAGGGUUUGGAACGCGAAGAGCACCGCAGUUGCGGCGGUGUCCGGACCUUCCCCCCGGACCUUGAAAAUCCAGGUGAGGGCCACGCGGAAGUCGCGCCAG
rnacentral:rRNA from 1 species